rnacentral:SRP_RNA from 1 species
GCUGGGUAUGUUGGCAUGCAUCCAUAGUCCCAGCUACUCUGGAAGCCCAGGCAGGGAGGAUUGCUUGAGCCCAGGGGUUCUGGGCUAUAGUACGCUAUGCUGACCUGCUGUCAUACCAAAGUUCUGCAUCAAUAUGGUGAGUUCCCAGGACCAGAGGACCAUCAGGAGGGAUGGACCAGCCUAGGUUGGACAUAGAGCAGGUCAGAACUCCUGUGCUGAUUAGUAGUGGAAUUGCACCUGUGAAUAGUCACUGCACUCCAGCUUGGACAACAUAGAGAGAUCCUGCCUCUU